GCCGCAUUAGCUCAGUUGGUAGAGCAUAUCAUUCGUAAUGAUAGGGUCGCUGGUUCAAAUCCGGCAUGCGGCACCA
rnacentral:tRNA from 1 species